rnacentral:rRNA from 1 species
UACGUAGGGGGCUAGCGUUGUCCGGAAUCAUUGGGCGUAAAGCGCGUGUAGGCGGUUCGGUAAGUCCGCUGUGAAAGUCGGGGGCUCAACCCUCGGAUGCCGGUGGAUACUGUCGGACUAGAGUACGGAAGAGGCGAGUGGAAUUCCUGGUGUAGCGGUGAAAUGCGCAGAUAUCAGGAGGGACACCAAUUGCGAAGGCAGCUCGCUGGGACGUAACUGACGCUGAGACGCGAAAGCGUGGGGAGCAAACAGG